AUGGCGUACUCUGGACAGAGGCAUGCCGGUGCCGCCGGGAGCUCGUCGCGGCAGGGGAAUGGCUUGAAGGGGCAGGCCAGCUCAGUUGAGUUCCUAGGAAGGGGGAUGGUGGGGAUGCAGCUCAGAGAUGCAAAGCCAGAUGAUGCUGAUGAUGAAAGGGACAAUGAGCCAGAUGUGGUUGCAGAUUCUGGUUCUGAAGCUGGUCAAAUAAUUGCAACCACAAUCCGUGGUCGAAAUGGUCUGCCUAAACAGUGCGUCAGUUACAUCGCAGAACAUGUGGUUGGAACUGGUUCUUUUGGGGUUGUAUUUCAGGCCAAAUGUCGAGAAACGGGAGAAGUCGUUGCCAUCAAAAAGGUUCUUCAAGAUAAGCGCUACAAAAACAGGGAAUUGCAAAUUAUGCAUAUGCUUGACCAUCCGAACAUUGUUGGUCUUAAGCAUUACUUCUUCUCAACCACUGAAAGGAAUGAGCUUUAUCUUAAUCUUGUCCUUGAGUUCGUGCCAGAGACAGUAAACCGGAUGGCAAGACAGUACAACAGAAUGAAUCAAAGAGUGCCCCUCAUUUAUGUCAAGCUAUACACUUAUCAGAUAUGCCGAGCACUUGCUUAUAUACACAACUGUGUUGGCAUCUGCCACCGUGAUAUCAAACCACAGAAUGUUCUCGUUAACCCACAUACACACCAGCUCAAAAUAUGUGAUUUUGGCAGUGCAAAAGUGUUGGUCAAGGGAGAGCCAAAUAUCUCCUACAUAUGCUCAAGAUACUACCGAGCACCAGAACUCAUAUUUGGUGCAACUGAAUAUACAACUGCCAUUGAUUUGUGGUCCACAGGCUGUGUCAUGGCAGAGCUGCUUCUUGGACAGCCUCUUUUUCCUGGGGAAAGUGGAGUUGAUCAGCUGGUUGAGAUUAUCAAGGUCUUGGGUACUCCAACAAGGGAAGAGAUCAAGUGCAUGAAUCCAAACUACACGGAGUUCAAGUUCCCGCAAAUUAAGGCUCACCCAUGGCACAAGGUUUUUCAGAAAAAGCUUCCACCUGAAGCAAUGGACCUUGUCAGCAGGUUUCUCCAAUACUCGCCAGAUCUUCGGUGCACUGCUAUGGAAGCCUGCAUGCACCCGUUCUUUGAUGAGUUGAGAGAUCCAAACACCCGUCUACCUAACGGUCGCCCUCUUCCUCCCCUCUUCAACUUCAGAUCUCAAGAGCUAAACGGUAUACCUCCGGAAGUCGUCGAGCGCCUGGUUCCGGAGCAUGCGAGAAAGCAGAACCUGUUCAUGGCGCUCCGCACCUAG
rnacentral:rRNA from 1 species